UUGCCUACGGGGGGCAGCAGUGGGGAAUAUUGCACAAUGGGGGGAACCCUGAUGCAGCGACGCCGCGUGGGCGAUGGAGUAUUUCGGUAUGUAAAGCCCUAUCGGCAGGGAAGAAGCUGACAGUACCUGACUAAGAAGCCCCGGCUAACUACGUGCCAGCAGCCGCGGUAAUACGUAGGGGGCAAGCGUUAUCCGGAUUCACUGGGCGUAAAGGGAGCGCAGGCGGCACGGGAAGCCCGGGGUGAAAACCCGGGGCCCAACCCCGGGAGGGCAUUGGGAACUGCCGCGCCAGAGAGCCGGGGGGG
rnacentral:rRNA from 1 species